UACGUAGGGGGCAAGCGUUGUCCGGAUUUAUUGGGCGUAAAGAGCGUGUAGGCGGCUAGGUAGGUCCGUUGUGAAAACUCGAGGCUCAACCUCGAGACGCCGGUGGAAACCAUCUAGCUAGAGUCCGGAAGAGGAGAGUGGAAUUCCUGGUGUAGCGGUGAAAUGACGCAGAUAUCAGGAAGAACACCCGUGGCGAAGGCGGCCCUCUGGCUCGACCCUGACGCUGAGGCGCGAAAGCGUGGGGAGCGAACGGG
rnacentral:rRNA from 1 species